rnacentral:rRNA from 1 species
UACGUAGGGGGCAAGCGUUGUCCGGAGUUACUGGGCGUAAAGCGCACGCAGGCGGUCCGUUAAGUUUGGAGUGGCAGUUGGUGGCUCAACCACCAAAGUGCUUUGAAAACUGACAGACUUGAGGGCUUCAGAGGGACACGGAAUUCCGGGUGGAGUGGUGAAAUGCGUAGAGAUCCGGAGGAACACCAAAGGCGAAGGCAGUGUCCUGGCUGGCAACUGACGCUGAGGCGCGAAAGCUAGGGGAGCGAACAGG